rnacentral:rRNA from 1 species
AACUUGAGAGUUUGAUCCUGGCUCAGAACGAACGCUGGCGGCAGGCCUAACACAUGCAAGUCGAACGGAACUUCGGUUCAGUGGCGGACGGGUGAGUAACGCGUGGGAACCUAUCUUUCGGUACGGAAUAACGCAUGGAAACGUGUGCUAAUACCGUAUACGCCCUAAGGGGGAAAGUUUUUCGCCGAGAGGAGGGCCCGCGUUGGAUUAGGUAGUUGGUGGGGUAAUGGCCCACCAAGCCGACGAUCUAUAGCUGGUUUGAGAGGAUGAUCAGCCACACUGGGACUGAGACACGGCCCAGACUCCUACGGGAGGCAGCAGUGAGGAAUCUUAGACAAUGGGGGAAACCCUGAUCUAGCCAUGCCGCGUGAGUGAUGAAGGCCCUAGGGUUGUAAAGCUCUUUCACCGGUGAAGAUAAUGACGGUAGCCGGAGAAGAAGCCCCGGCUAACUCCGUGCCAGCAGCCGCGGUAAUACGGAGGGGGCUAG